rnacentral:lncRNA from 1 species
CCCGGGUUGGAGUAUCCUGACCCUGGAGGCUCGGGUUUGCAUGUCCCAGUUCUGGGAGCUCAGUUGGACUGGGUGUCAGGAUCUAUGGUGCCCCUGGCAGGAACCAUGGAGGAUGCAGAUGGUAAAGGGCUAGUUCCCAUACAUUUUGGAGCGCAGACGGUGGAUCCAGUGACAGGGGUGCUGGCUCCGGUUGUGGGGGCCAGUCUGGAUGUUUGGAAACGGACUGUGGUUCCUGUAACUGUGUCCCAGAUUCUGACGUUAGGAGAAAACCCAGACAGUGUCACAGUGGAAGCCCUCCAGAAGGAGAGCAGUGUACAGGGCAAUUACUGGCAUGAGCAGACACUGAAGGAAGAGGAGAUGGUGGGAGAUUUUGACAGAGCCG